rnacentral:snRNA from 1 species
AGCAGAACUGGCGAUGCG